UGCACAAGUAGUUUAUUAAGAAAGUGCUCCCAGGCAGGGUAACUAACAAUUCCGGUAUACCUGGGACAGAGAUACAGGAAGGUAGUUACAGUGAUUUAGAACUUUCAGUUUUAAAACUGGGACCAUCAUACUCAAACUGGGAUGAGUUGGUUGCCCUACUCCCAGAAGAAACUGAUAAGGGGAUAGAGAAAGCAGAACAGGGAAUGUGCUUCCUAGCCAAGCAGAAUUGCAAUUGCAUGUAUCAAAAGGGUAGCCUCAACCUGAUCCCAAAGGUAAAUUCUGGAGAGUAAAUUGUGGCUCAGAGUUUGCUCCUAACUAAAGUAAGAGAGCUGAGCUUCCAAACUCCCAUACCCAUUACACAUCAGCUAGAGUCUUAGGGUUGAGGAUGCUCAGAAGCAGGGAGCAGUUCCACAGCCUGAGAACAAUCCUCUGAACAAUUGUUGCAGGGUAUUUGCAAAGGGGUAGAUUGUGCACUGAGGUUGUCCACUAGAAUACUAACUUUAAAGGGUAUGGAAUUGAAAAAUUCACACAAAUGAGAGGACCGCACUUUUUUCCUCCCUUUCUCACUCCCCAUCCAAUCAAGUUGGGAUGGGAGAAAGGAAGGUUGAAGAUCGGCAUAGGGAGCGCCAGGGGAAACAUGCUACUUUUCCAGGUGCUUCCUAGAGGAAGUGUGGGGGGCACCCGGGAGAAUUUCCCUCAAAGUCUGUGGGUCUUUAGGAAGACAGCAUACUUGUAUCCCUUCUCUCAUUUCUUCUGAAGACAGAAGAUUGCAGGAGUGUCCCACAUGGUCGGGGCAUUGAGAAACAAGAGUACAGUGUGCCUAAGUAGAAAGGGUGACCCAGCACCACCCCCUCUCAUUUCUCCAUGAUGUUGAAGACAUUGUAAAAUGAUGCCAAAGUUCCCCAGGGCCCUGAGUGAAGAGCCGUGGAGGUAGAAAAUGAAAAAGAAUGCAUGUGCUGCCCUGGAGCCUCUUGGCUAAGUAACCGGAGCUCCCCAGGAAAGGGCUGCAGUGCUACUUUGAGAGGUCGUGAUCUCCUUUGUGGGCCAAAUUCUCACUGAUGUUCAUAAAGACAACUGUACCUCAUCACCCUGACAGUACAUGCUUGCUUGCUUUGGAACUUGCUGAAAAUGAAGAUGACUUAAGUCUUUUGCAUGCAUUCAUUUUCUCUCCAGGGGAAACGGAUGGAAUAAAUGAGCUGAGACUAGGAUAUGAGCUACACUAAGGGCUCCAUGUGCCUUCUCAAAAGAAUAAAAGAAUCAAGACACAGUCUCACUAUUUGGGAGGUGUUGAAGGAGAUGCAUACAGCUGGCAAGGCCAAGGGAAGAUGCUGCGCUAUCUCCUACCAGUCCACUCCAACCAGGAGCCAGGCUGGAGCUGAAAACCGCAAAGGGCAAGGUCAUCAUAGCUGCAAAGGUCACAGAUGUCAGCCCAAACUGAUACAGAAGGCAGUCAUCACAACUUCUACCACCGCUCUGACCAAACAAGCCUCCCAGGUGCUGGGAUCUACCAGAGGAAAGGAGAAGAGAGCCUGAGAUGGAAUUUUGAACUGGACUCCAGUGAGUUAAUUAUCCUGAACCCACUGAUCAAUCUCAAGAGUGGGCUGAAUAUUCUGAGAAUGGCUGCCUGAAGAUGUCUGCCAGAGGGUGGCUAGAGGGUCAGAGACAGAAAUUCAGGGCUAUU
rnacentral:lncRNA from 10 species